AGAUUAAGUUAUUAAGGGCGCACGGUGGAUGCCUUGGCACUAGAAGCCGAUGAAGGACGUUACUAACGACGAUAUGCUUUGGGGAGCUGUAAGUAAGCUUUGAUCCAGAGAUUUCCGAAUGGGGAAACCCAGCAUGAGUUAUGUCAUGUUAUCGAUAUGUGAAUACAUAGCAUAUCAGGAGGCACACCCGGAGAACUGAAACAUCUUAGUACCCGGAGGAAGAGAAAGAAAAUUCGAUUCCCUUAGUAGCGGCGAGCGAAACGGGAAGAGCCCAAACCAACAAGCUUGCUUGUUGGGGUUGUAGGACACUCUAUACGGAGUUACAAAGGACGACAUUAGACGAAUCAUCUGGAAAGAUGAAUCAAAGAAGGUAAUAAUCCUGUAGUCGAAAAUGUUGUCUCUCUUGAGUGGAUCCUGAGUACGACGGAGCACGUGAAAUUCCGUCGGAAUCUGGGAGGACCAUCUCCUAAGGCUAAAUACUCUCUAGUGACCGAUAGUGAACCAGUACCGUGAGGGAAAGGUGAAAAGCACCCCGGAAGGGGAGUGAAAUAGAACCUGAAACCGUGUGCUUACAAGUAGUCAGAGCCCGUUAAUGGGUGAUGGCGUGCCUUUUGUAGAAUGAACCGGCGAGUUACGAUUUGAUGCAAGGUUAAGCAGUAAAUGUGGAGCCGUAGCGAAAGCGAGUCUGAAUAGGGCGUUUAGUAUUUGGUCGUAGACCCGAAACCAGGUGAUCUACCCUUGGUCAGGUUGAAGUUCAGGUAACACUGAAUGGAGGACCGAACCGACUUACGUUGAAAAGUGAGCGGAUGAACUGAGGGUAGCGGAGAAAUUCCAAUCGAACCUGGAGAUAGCUGGUUCUCUCCGAAAUAGCUUUAGGGCUAGCCUCAAGUGAUGAUUAUUGGAGGUAGAGCACUGUUUGGACGAGGGGCCCCUCUCGGGUUACCGAAUUCAGACAAACUCCGAAUGCCAAUUAAUUUAACUUGGGAGUCAGAACAUGGGUGAUAAGGUCCGUGUUCGAAAGGGAAACAGCCCAGACCACCAGCUAAGGUCCCAAAAUAUAUGUUAAGUGGAAAAGGAUGUGGCGUUGCCCAGACAACUAGGAUGUUGGCUUAGAAGCAGCCAUCAUUUAAAGAGUGCGUAAUAGCUCACUAGUCGAGUGACACUGCGCCGAAAAUGUACCGGGGCUAAACAUAUUACCGAAGCUGUGGAUUGUCCUUUGGACAAUGGUAGGAGAGCGUUCUAAGGGCGUUGAAGCAUGAUCGUAAGGACAUGUGGAGCGCUUAGAAGUGAGAAUGCCGGUGUGAGUAGCGAAAGACGGGUGAGAAUCCCGUCCACCGAUUGACUAAGGUUUCCAGAGGAAGGCUCGUCCGCUCUGGGUUAGUCGGGUCCUAAGCUGAGGCCGACAGGCGUAGGCGAUGGAUAACAGGUUGAUAUUCCUGUACCACCUAUAAUCGUUUUAAUCGAUGGGGGGACGCAGUAGGAUAGGCGAAGCGUGCGAUUGGAUUGCACGUCUAAGCAGUAAGGCUGAGUAUUAGGCAAAUCCGGUACUCGUUAAGGCUGAGCUGUGAUGGGGAGAAGACAUUGUGUCUUCGAGUCGUUGAUUUCACACUGCCGAGAAAAGCCUCUAGAUAGAAAAUAGGUGCCCGUACCGCAAACCGACACAGGUAGUCAAGAUGAGAAUUCUAAGGUGAGCGAGCGAACUCUCGUUAAGGAACUCGGCAAAAUGACCCCGUAACUUCGGGAGAAGGGGUGCUCUUUAGGGUUAACGCCCAGAAGAGCCGCAGUGAAUAGGCCCAAGCGACUGUUUAUCAAAAACACAGGUCUCUGCUAAACCGUAAGGUGAUGUAUAGGGGCUGACGCCUGCCCGGUGCUGGAAGGUUAAGAGGAGUGGUUAGCUUCUGCGAAGCUACGAAUCGAAGCCCCAGUAAACGGCGGCCGUAACUAUAACGGUCCUAAGGUAGCGAAAUUCCUUGUCGGGUAAGUUCCGACCCGCACGAAAGGCGUAACGAUUUGGGCACUGUCUCAACGAGAGACUCGGUGAAAUCAUAGUACCUGUGAAGAUGCAGGUUACCCGCGACAGGACGGAAAGACCCCGUGGAGCUUUACUGUAGCCUGAUAUUGAAAUUCGGCACAGCUUGUACAGGAUAGGUAGGAGCCUUUGAAACGUGAGCGCUAGCUUACGUGGAGGCGCUGGUGGGAUACUACCCUAGCUGUGUUGGCUUUCUAACCCGCACCACUUAUCGUGGUGGGAGACAGUGUCAGGCGGGCAGUUUGACUGGGGCGGUCGCCUCCUAAAAGGUAACGGAGGCGCUCAAAGGUUCCCUCAGAAUGGUUGGAAAUCAUUCAUAGAGUGUAAAGGCAUAAGGGAGCUUGACUGCGAGACCUACAAGUCGAGCAGGGUCGAAAGACGGACUUAGUGAUCCGGUGGUUCCGCAUGGAAGGGCCAUCGCUCAACGGAUAAAAGCUACCCCGGGGAUAACAGGCUUAUCUCCCCCAAGAGUUCACAUCGACGGGGAGGUUUGGCACCUCGAUGUCGGCUCAUCGCAUCCUGGGGCUGUAGUCGGUCCCAAGGGUUGGGCUGUUCGCCCAUUAAAGCGGUACGCGAGCUGGGUUCAGAACGUCGUGAGACAGUUCGGUCCCUAUCCGUCGUGGGCGUAGGAAAUUUGAGAGGAGCUGUCCUUAGUACGAGAGGACCGGGAUGGACAUACCUCUGGUGUACCAGUUGUCGUGCCAACGGCAUAGCUGGGUAGCUAUGUGUGGACGGGAUAAGUGCUGAAAGCAUCUAAGCAUGAAGCCCCCCUCAAGAUGAGAUUUCCCAACUUCGGUUAUAAGAUCCCUCAAAGAUGAUGAGGUUAAUAGGUUCGAGGUGGAAGCAUGGUGACAUGUGGAGCUGACGAAUACUAAUCGAUCGAAGACUUAAUCAAAUU
rnacentral:rRNA from 1 species